GGCGCUGUGAUUUCUGCAUUCCUGAGACCAGCUUUAAUAAGGGUGUAGGGGUGGUGGAGCACAAUUGUUUGCAAGCACGCUCCCACACUUGGAAAUUAUUACAAGCAACUGCUAGGAACAAGAAAAUGAACAUGGGAGAAAGUGGAGAGAGAAUUUUCUUUCCUCCAGUUACUCUUGGCACCUUGGGAUGAUCAUCCUAAACUGGAUCCCAACACAGUUAUAUGGGUGAAAUCGCCUCCAAUGGAGCACCUUUUAACACACAGGAUGUAGCAGAGCUCAGACUCCCACCUCUCAGCAGAGGAACAGUCUCUCUCUCAAACCAGCCUGCAGUCCGCAGGAACGCACCCUUACAUCAGCCCCGGCCAGGGACCGGGAGCUUCUCCAAACAGGUCCCGAGACCCUCGGCUUCUGGCGGCAACGUGAACCGCAGGGUGGGGAAGUCCGUGGCUCACCAUUUAGCUUAUGUCAGCAGUAACUCACACACCCCUGGUUUUACUCUACAGGCACAUAAAAAAAAAAAAAACACAAAGAAAACACGGAACGUGUAAUACUGGAUUUAAGUUUGCUUCCAAAACAUUGUGCUCAGCAGCUCAUGCUGAAAAGAGAGAAAGGUCUUCGCCAGGGAGGAUCAAGGAGUGGUGGAGCCGAGAUAAAGAACGGUUCGCAAAAUUCAGCUGUUGCUUGGAACCCAUGGUUAUGAAAUCCAUCACUGUAACUAUUAGAUUGUCUUUUGUUCUUUUCUUACUUAUUUUGACUAUCUGGUGUUAAUAAUUAUAUAGCAGCAAUAAGAGAGCAAGAGUAACAUUUUACCCAUAUUCAAUUAUGCUACACUUCACCUUUCUCAGAGUAUAUUAAUUAUAAUUCAUGGCUUUAGCAAACCACUCUUAAAGGGCACUCAAAUAAGGAAGAAAAACAAAUGUAAUCUCUCUGAAUCCAGUGUACUCAUGCAAGCCCUGUUAACCCACUGAUUAAAUGAUCUAGCCUUGCAUAAUUAUCCCUGUUAUAUGAACUGGUAAAUAAAGGCAAAAACGUGGCUUUUCUAGUGAAAACCAGCACGAGGAUAUCAUAUCAAUUAAUUUCCACUGAAGCUUUAAAAAUAUUAUUGUUAGAAUGUUAGUAUUUUGCCUUAACGUUCACAAAUUUCAUUCUGGAUAAAUUCUUACAUUUGUAAUCAAUUAUGGUGUUUCAGCAGGGGAUGAGGUGACAUGUAAGUCCCUCAUAUUUUAGACUGCAUGGCAGAGUUUGUACUUCAUCCGCUGGCUACAGUUUUAUGUAAUAACACUUAAUAAAACUGAACAUUUUCCUUGAUACAAA